rnacentral:rRNA from 1 species
CCAAUUUGGAGAGUUUGAUCCUGGCUCAGGACGAACGCUGGCGGCGUGCCUAAUACAUGCAAGUCGAGCGGAUCUUGUCCUUCGGGACAAGAUUAGCGGCGGACGGGUGAGUAACACGUGGGUAACCUGCCUGUAAGACUGGGAUAACAUCCGGAAACGGAUGCUAAUACCGGAUACGCG